AAGAACUGAUUAAUCUCGAAACAUCGUAUUUUACGCGACGUGAAAUUGUGAAUGAAGAUUGACAUGUGUUCGUGAGCUACAUCUAACGCCGUACUAUCUAAGGUUACCUCAGCUAGUAUACUGUAGUUUAUCUUGGUUAAUUCUACUCCUGUGCCACGGAACCCCCCCCCCCC